CCCUUAGAUGUUCUGGGCUGCACGCGCGCUACACUGAAGCUAUCAACACGUUUUCCCUCCCUGAGAAGGGCGGGUAACCUUUUGAAUCAGCUUCGUGGUAGGGAUCGGGGCUUGCAAUUGUUCCCCGUGAACCAGGAAUUCCUAGUAGACGUAGUUCAUCAGACUGCAUCGAUUACGUCCCUGCCCUUUGUACACACCGCCCGUCGCUCCUACCGAUUGAAUGCUCAGGUGAGCCAUUCGGACUUUCAUCAUGCUGGUUUCCAGUUUUGAUGAAGGAAAGUCUUGCGAACCUUAUCAUUUAGAGGAAGGAGAAGUCGUAACA
rnacentral:rRNA from 1 species